rnacentral:rRNA from 1 species
AAUCAACGCUGGCGGCGUGCCUAACACAUGCAAGUCGCACGAGAAAGGGACUUCGGUCCUGAGUACAGUGGCGCACGGGUGAGUAACACGUGAAUCAUCUACCUUCGAGUGGGGAAUAACUGAGAGAAAUCUUAGCUAAUACCGCAUAAUACCUACGGGUCAAAGCAGCAAUGCGCUUGAAGAGGAGUUCGCGGCAGAUUAGUUAGUUGGCAGGGUAGUGGCCUACCAAGACGAUGAUCUGUAUCCGGCCUGAGAGGGCGC